rnacentral:rRNA from 1 species
UACGUAGGGUGCAAGCGUUAAUCGGAAUUACUGGGCGUAAAGCGUGCGCAGGCGGUGAUGUAAGACAGAUGUGAAAUCCCCGGGCUCAACCCGGGAACUGCGUCCGAUACUGGAAGGCUUGAAUCCGGGGAGAGGAGUGCGGAAUUCCAGGUGUAGCGGUGAAAUGCGUAGAUAUCUGGAGGAACACCGGUGGCGAAGGCGGCAUCCUGGACCGGCAUUGACGCUGAGGCGCGAAAGCCAGGGGAGCAAACGGG